UUCAUUCAUUGUAAGUACUAUUUUGAGAAAGUUUGUCUGUAUUUGCUCCAAAAAGAUUUAAAAAAAAAAAUGUAUUUGCAAUGAAAACCCAAAAAAUUAGGAAUUUGCCUAAUGAGGGUGGAUCUGCUGCGAAUCGCAACCGGAACCGCGGAGGAAAUUAGAAUCGUCACAAUUUUCAGGGACCGAAUCAAAAUAAUCCAAAUCUGUACCCUGCCAUGCUUCUCUAUGCCGUAUUGUGGUUGGACGAUCAAGAAAUGAAGAACACGACAGAUACGCUUUUUUGUGUGCCUUGGUACAUUCAUCCCAAACAAUGAGUUUAUAUGCUCGCAGUUAUUUUCCCAUACCUGAUGUUGAAGUACAUUUGAAGAAAUUUCACUGACUGGGAACGGGAGCAGGGCGCCAGCUUUGUGAUAUGAUUUUGAAAGUUGGCAUGAAUUCGUCAGUUACAAUUUACGAACCAAAAGAUGUCAUUUCAAGCAGAGUUCGCAGUGGCUCUGGUGGUGUUCCAAGUUGACGUAAUUUGAUUUUCCCGGCAGAACAACACAUUUCUUUCAUUUCAUUAAACUUCAGAGCCUGGCAGCAA
rnacentral:sRNA from 1 species